GCCUUGCGAGUGUGAUGGAGGCACGAUGGUCUUCGAAACCAUCAGACGGGGUUCGACUCCCUGGCGAGGUAC
rnacentral:tRNA from 2 species